UCCCUGAUAGCUCAGUUGGUAAAGAAUCUGCCUGUAAUGCAGGAGACGUGGGUUCGAUUCCUGAGUAGGGAA
rnacentral:tRNA from 1 species